rnacentral:rRNA from 1 species
CCUACGGGUGGCAGCAGUAGGGAAUCUUCGGCAAUGGGGGCAACCCUGACCGAGCAACGCCGCGUGAGUGAAGAAGGUUUUCGGAUCGUAAAGCUCUGUUGUAAGAGAAGAACGGGAGUGGGAGUGGAAAGUCCACUUCGUGACGGUAUCUUACCAGAAAGGGACGGCUAACUACGUGCCAGCAGCCGCGGUAAUACGUAGGUCCCGAGCGUUAUCCGGAUUUAUUGGGCGUAAAGCGAGCGCAGGCGGUUAGAUAAGUCUGAAGUUAAAGGCUGUGGCUUAACCAUAGUACGCUUUGGAAACUGUUUAACUUGAGUGCAAGAGGGGAGAGUGGAAUUCCAUGUGUAGCGGUGAAAUGCGUAGAUAUAUGGAGGAACACCGGUGGCGAAAGCGGCUCUCUGGCUUGUAACUGACGCUGAGGCUCGAAAGCGUGGGGAGCAAACAGGAUUAGAUACCCUGGUAGUC